UGACACCAGUUCCCAUACGAUCACUGAAAUUAAGCAGUCAUGAACCUGGUCAGUACCUAGAUGGAUGAUCACUUGGGAAUACCAGGUGAUGUAAG